UCACCAUUCAGGGCGCUCAUGAAUGGG
rnacentral:piRNA from 1 species